UGGGGAAUUGUUCACAAUGGGCGCAAGCCUGAUGACGCAACGCCGCGUGGAGGAUGAAGGUCUUCGGAUUGUAAACUCCUGUUGCCCGGGACGAACGGCUUCAACCUAACACGUUGAAGUGUGACGGUACCGGGUGAGGAAGCCCCGGCUAACUCUGUGCCAGCAGCCGCGGUAAUACAGAGGGGGCAAGCGUUGUUCGGAAUUACUGGGCGUAAAGGGCGCGUAGGCGGCCCGCUAAGUCGAACGUGAAAUCCCCGAGCUCAACUCGGGAACUGCGUCCGAUACUGGCGGGCUUGAAUCCGGGAGAGGGAUGCGGAAUUCCAGGUGUAGCGGUGAAAUGCGUAGAUAUCUGGAGGAACACCGGUGGCGAAGGCGGCAUCCUGGACCGGCAUUGACGCUGAGGCGCGAAAGCUAGGGGAGCAAACGGGAUUAGAUACCCCGGUAGUCCUAGCCCUAAACGAUGAAUGCUUGGUGUGGCGGGUAUCGAUCCCUGCCGUGCCGAAGCUAACGCAUUAAGCAUUCCGCCUGGGGAGUACGGUCGCAAGGCUGA
rnacentral:rRNA from 1 species